AUUGAUUGAGAUCUUCAGUAGAAAAGGAUGACACUAUACAUACCAGAAGAGCCUGUGUGAUCAAGUCUCUGUGCACCUACUUGAAUGAAGACCCUGAAAAACUAGUGAAGGUAUAUUUGGAAACUGAUGGUA